GAAAAGUGCUUUGCAAGAGUUGGAGAUUAGACAGACACUCCAUUGUGGCUCAGAAUAUGUGGGCAAAAUGCAACUCAGAAACAAAAUGACAGACAGGUUUGCAAGGUGAGUACUUUGCUUGCUUCUUUUUUCUGUUUCAUCCUAGCAGGGAUCUUAGGCUACACUGAAACCUAAUCCCUAUUGCCAUGAACAAUAUUUGAAU
ensembl:lncRNA